rnacentral:rRNA from 1 species
CGGGGUGCAGCAGUGAGGAAUAUUGGACAAUGGGCGCAAGCCUGAUCCAGCCAUGCCGCGUGCAGGAUGACGGUCCUAUGGAUUGUAAACUGCUUUUGCACAGGAAGAAACCCUGCCACGUGUGGCAGAUUGACGGUACUGUGAGAAUAAGGAUCGGCUAACUCCGUGCCAGCAGCCGCGGUAAUACGGAGGAUCCAAGCGUUAUCCGGAAUCAUUGGGUUUAAAGGGUCCGUAGGCGGUUUGGUAAGUCAGUGGUGAAAGCCCAUCGCUCAACGGUGGAACGGCCAUUGAUACUGCCAGACUUGAAUUAUUAGGAAGUAACUAGAAUAUGUAGUGUAGCGGUGAAAUGCUUAGAGAUUACAUGGAAUACCAAUUGCGAAGGCAGGUUACUACUAAUGGAUUGACGCUGAUGGACGAAAGCGUGGGUAGCGAACAGGAUUAGAUACCCCCGU